AAGGCGUGCACGUCCUGUGCACAACGCAGAAGUCACCGCGUCCUGCGGA
rnacentral:sRNA from 1 species